CACAGGAAGACUGAAUUCCCAGUGAAAUGCAGUUGCAGCCAUUUUCUUUGAAAACACAGCUGGAGCCCUUUCAUGGGGAUAAUGAAGAGAGAAGUAAGGCACUGCUCAUUAGCUAUUACUGUGUGAAAGGACUCAGCCCACUGCCAAGAACCCCUGCCAUGCCACUCUACUGUGAGGCAUAGUGUAAGAAUUACAGCUUUCAGGUUCUCUACGCUGACUGAGAAGUUUCCAGGACAAGAUCGUUACGGCGACUGAACGUAUUCUGGAAAGUAAGAUCAUCUGAAAAACUACAAGAACUCAGAUUAUGUCAGCUCACUAAAGUAAUUUUCAGGACUUCUUCUGGCUUGAAAUAGUAGAGGAUCUCUACUGAUAUCUACUUGUGCAGCUCACAUAUAUCUGCAGAAACCAGGACUACCCAUCCUGAAUGUGAAACUUUACAUAGACUUGAAAGGGGGUUAAUGUGGUACAAAUACUGCUUCAAAAAGAAAAAACAUUAAAUGUUGAGAUUCAAUUGAUUUUUAAAAUGUAAAGUUAUAUAAACUGUAAAAUAGUAUUUUAUACUAUUUUACCCAGAAUUUGCAUGCGAGGGCCAGACACUUGAGCUGUUUCAAAGUUCAUAGACAAAAAAAGCUGCUACUGAAAUUGCACAAAUACUCUGUUAUUUUGUUUGAGAUAAGAGGGUUGUCAGUGUAAAGAUUGUAUCACAGUUCAAAAUAGCUUGUCUAAUAUGGAGUUCAGAUGCAGAAGUGUUGCAAUCCUAUAGUCUUGGCCUCAUUUAAGACCUUUACUGCUUGAACUGUAAUCUCAAACUGAAGAAGUUAUGUACAAGAAUCCAUUUCUUUGUUGAAGUAAAGCAUGUACUAACAAGUCUAUUUGUCUUUCUGUUGACAGCUUGCAUAGUCCUGCACAGUAUUAUGAUAAUUUCUCACUAACUGAACUAACGAGACUGAAGGUAUUGUUUUCAGUAGUUAGCCUACAGUAAAAUAUCAGAAUAAGGGAACUACAAAAUUAUCUAAAUUGGAAAGGAUGUCAAGAAGUCUCUAAUACAAUUUUGUUUUAAAUGGAGGUCAACAUUGAUUUCAUAUCAAGUUUUUUUAAGUCUUUAUUCAGCUGAGUCUUGAAGACCUUCAAGGCCAGCAUCAUAAAUGCUCUUCAUCCACUCAUGGAACAUCAAUUCCUCUUGUUAAUUUUCCCAGGUUGUGUGAGUUUGUGCACAUGAAUUUCAGGUAGGUCAACUUCUAAUGUUCUUUAUCCUUCACAAGACCUCCUUUACACCCAUCACCCUGCCCUAUGUAUUGUCUUACCUUUCUUCACUUAACUGAAAGCUCUUCUCACCGUCUGAUGAUAUGUGUGAUACAUAGUCCUCAUCAUCACUCUGGGAAGUCCUGUUUUCAAGAAGAUUCAUCUGCACUUGGUGAAGUAGAUCUCAUGUCUUGCUAGCAGUUCUUAUUCCUUAAAAAUCUCUGUCAUAAAAAAAAUCAAAGCACUGCUUGCAACAAUGCCAUUAGUCAUCUUGUUAUUUCAGUAUACUUCAGGAACCUCUGCCUGAGGCUUUCCUAUCAUCUGUGGGACCAAGGGGAAUACCAUCUUUGUCCUCAUCUCUCUGUACUCACUUCUGAUUCUUCCGGGUUUCCUUAGCAGUAUUAAUGGUGAGCACAUGGAUAAGCAAAAAUCUGAAGGCCACAUGAGACUCGUCAUCCUCUAUGCCAUAUUCUGGAUCCAAGCUCCAUCAAAGAAUUAAUCUCCUGUGGCAGUAGUCCUGGUUGGCAGGUGGGUGCUUUUAUCUCUUGCAAAACAGAGUCUCAAAACACCAUUGCCAGCUGCUACCUCUCGGCACUAAAUCUUGAUUCAGGCCCAUCUGGCUCUGAAAUCUAUUUCCAUGAAAUUCCUUCUCUUUCCUUGGUUAUUAGUGCAAUGAAUGCAUUGUGUAAAUUCAGAUCUGGAAGCCAAGAAGCCUUUCUCCUGCUGACAGAGAGCACAAGUCUCCACCCAUCUUUACCUUGGGAAUACCAUCCACUGUUAUUAUUGCAUAAUCUUUCAUUGUCCCUUUUAUUUUUCAUUCUGUAGCUCAACAUCCUGUCUCUGCAGUCUCUGUGAUGAUGAUACAAACCUCCUACUCAUCCUCCCUGAUAUUUCAGUCUGAUUGCCUUCCCUCACAAGUGGGGCCACCAUUGCUGUCACUCUGCUCUGCUCCAGAUAAAGCAACAGAUGUGAGCCCUGGGAGGUAGCAUCCUCCAUUUGCAGAUGUGUGGGCCCCAUGAGCUCCAACGUGCCAGGGUUCUUACUCCAGCUGAAGCUGGACACUGACCAUGGUGAGGACACCACCAUUGCCAUGCAGUCCCACUCUCUGGAGGAGAAUUCCUGGACCUCCUUUGCACCCACUGCAAGAAAAGUGUCCCACAAACAGCCAAAAUGCCUGUAAGCUUACUUAUCUUGUUGGACAUUGUGGUCUGACUCACCAGCUCAGCUGAACAGACAUUCCCACUGCAGAGGAACAGGAGGUCACUCAUCAGAAGGCAGUUGCUUGGCAAACAAGUUAAAACCAGUUUGUUUUAGCAAAAAAAAAAAAAAAAAAAAAAAAAAAACACAAAAAAACCACAGAGGGAGCAGUGUUCUGGGAUUUGCAUAUUUUGGAAUGAAAUUAACUAGGGAACUUUCUUAAUUGCCUUUUUUUUUUUCCCAUUCUUUAUCUUAACUUCAGAAAAAGUUGAGCAUUUAUAACAAAAAUACUAUGAUCAUAAAAAUAGUAAUAAUUACAAAUUUGAUUAAAUAUCAGGAGCAACAUCUGGAGUUCACAAAAGCAGAAGCCUUGAAUAUUCUAAAGGAUAUGGAAAUGAGAUUUGAGGACUUCAAGGGAGCUUUUUUCCUCCAUCAGUUUUAUAGGAUUAUUUUUGGCACAGUUUCAACUGAUGACUGGAAUAAAUCUUCCUGCCAGCAUACAAUUUUCUGAAAAACUAAUUAUUCUUCUGGUUGAUCAUAGGUGAGGUGGGUAGAGAUAUCUAUUUUUAAUGUUCCUGAAAUCUCAGUUUUAUGACCCUGUUUUACACUGCUUACAAUUUUGCCAGGUUUCAAACAUUUGGAAUUAAAUAGCUAUGUAUGAAGUCUCCUGAUUAAAUACUCUUCAAACACUUUUUCAGAAUCUGGUGGAAGAAGUGAGGGACUAGUAGGUUGCGCCCCACGCCCCCCAAACUCUCAAGAAGCUCCAACACUUUCUGUCAUCUUUAGAGGCGUGACUGUCUUCCUGUUUAAUUUCCCAAGGUGCUCAACUUGCUUUUCAUUGCUCACUUAAUACCAUCAAAUUAUAAGAACUAGACAAAUUCUUUUUUAUUAGGAUUUUUUUUUUUCAGAAUUCUAUGAUUUUCAAUUCUGAAAUUGUUAACUCCUUUGGACAUCUGGUACUUUUCAAGUGGCCUGUGAAUACACCUUUCCCUGAGAAGGAUUGAGCACUCGUUAACCAAGUAAUUUAAGCAGUGAGGAACAUUUUCCUUAAACCAUUCAUUCUGACUGAAACAUUUAAAUUAGGAAGUUUGGAGGAUUUUGGAGUGCUCUUUGUGCUUUCUUUAUUAACAAUCAGAGCCAAAAAAAAAAAAAAAAAAAGAAUGAUAAACCUCCUCAAAUAAACACAAAGAAUAAGGAAGAAGUGAGAUAGGUGUUACAGAAUUCAGAAGUUUAACUGGAGAACUGAAAUUUUAAAUUCACUGAAUUUUAUUUUCUAUGGUAUAGAUGUAUUGCUUUUUAUCUUAUUUUGAUACAGCUGAAUAUUGAAACAUGUAUUUCUGGAAAGGUUGCUGAAAAUACUUUGCUGCUUUAAACAACACAAAGCAAAUAAAAAGCAAACUUAAAAAGA